GCAGCUUUAGCUCACUUGGGAGAGCGCCAGACUGAAGUUCAACUUUGGUUAUAAGCCUGUGCGGUAUCUGGAGGUACUGUGUUCGAUCCACAGAAGCUGCA
rnacentral:tRNA from 1 species